CUGGGUCAAGGUGGGCCCUCCCCAUAUACAAAGCUCAAAGUUUGCUGUAUGUAGCAUCCUGUAAUUCACCUGUUCGUAUCGGUAGUGACACCUGCCACUGUUAGUGUCUGCUCGCACAGAGGAAACCACCAGAGGCAUCCACCGCUGGGCUUGCCAUGCCUGGGAUGUAGUGGCAAACUGCUUGCCCAGAAUAUGCCAGGGGAACCAGGAGCACUAGCAGCUCAGGGCCUCAUGUAGGAUAACAGAAGGGCAGUGCUGGAGAUCCCAGGUCAGAAGAAAACGAGGAGUGUUCGUUCAGCUUUCAUGCAACACAUUGAGUCACCAUAUUAUUUUUUGCUGCUGAAAUAAGGCCUGGUUCACUUCACAAAUUAGCAGAAUGCUUUAGGCUGGAGGGGAUUUCUGGAAAACAUCUGGGCCAACCCCUACUCAAGCAGGGCCACCAAGAACAGGUUGCCCAG